rnacentral:rRNA from 1 species
GACGAACGCUGGCGGCGUGCUUAACACAUGCAAGUCGAACGAUGAAGCCAGCUUGCUGGUGGAUUAGUGGCGAACGGGUGCGUAACACGUGGGUGAUCUGCCCCAAACUUUGGGAUAAGCCUGGGAAACUGGGUCUAAUACCGAAUAUGACCGAUACUCGCAUGGGUGUUGGUGGAAAGCUCCGGCGGUUUGGGAUGGGCCCGCGGCCUAUCAGCUUGUUGGUGGGGUAAUGGCCUACCAAGGCGACGACGGGUAGCCGGCCUGAGAGGGCGACCGGCCACACUGGGACUGAGACACGGCCCAGACUCCUACGGGAGGCAGCAGUGGGGAAUAUUGCACAAUGGGCGCAAGCCUGAUGCAGCGACGCCGCGUGAAGGAUGACGGCCUUCGGGUUGUAAACCUCUUUCACCAGGGACGAAGCGAAAGUGACGGUACCUGGAGAAGAAGCACCGGCAAACUACGUG